rnacentral:rRNA from 1 species
GCCUGAUGCAGCCAUGCCGCGUGUGUGAAGAAGGCCUUCGGGUUGUAAAGCACUUUCAGCGGGGAGGAAGGCGAUGAGGUUAAUAACCUUGUUGAUUGACGUUACCCGCAGAAGAAGCACCGGCUAACUCCGUGCCAGCAGCCGCGGUAAUAA